rnacentral:rRNA from 1 species
AUUGAACGCUAGCGGGAUGCUUUACACAUGCGAGUCGAACGGCAGCGCGGACUUCGGUCUGGCGGCGAGUGGCGAACGGGUGAGUAAUGUAUCGGAACGUGCCCAGUAGCGGGGGAUAACUACGCGAAAGCGUAGCUAAUACCGCAUACGCCCUACGGGGGAAAGCAGGGGAUCGUAAGACCUUGCACUAUUGGAGCGGCCGAUAUCGGAUUAGCUAGUUGGUGAGGUAACGGCUCACCAAGGCGACGAUCCGUAGCUGGUUUGAGAGGACGACCAGCCACACUGGGACUGAGACACGGCCCAGACUCCUACGGGAUGCAGCAGUGGGGAAUUUUGGACAAUGGGGGCAACCCUGAUCCAGCCAUCCCGCGUGUGCGAUGAAGGCCUUCGGGUUGUAAAGCACUUUUGGCAGGAAAGAAACGUCGCGGGCUAAUACCCCGUGGAACUGACGGUACCUGCAGAAUAAGCACCGGCUAACUACGUG